rnacentral:rRNA from 1 species
AUUGAACGCUGGCGGCAGGCUUAACACAUGCAAGUCGAGCGAGCGGCGGACGGGUGAGUAAUGUCUGGGAAACUGCCUGAUGGAGGGGGAUAACUACUGGAAACGGUAGCUAAUACCGCAUACCAUCAGAUGUGCCCAGAUGGGAUUAGCUAGUAGGUGGGGUAAUGGCUCACCUAGGCGACGAUCCCUAGCUGGUCUGAGAGGAUGACCGACCACACUGGAACUGUGACACGGUCCAGACUCCGACGGGAGGCAGCAGGGGGGAUUAUUGCAAAAUGAGCUCAAGCCUGAUGCAGCCAUGCCGCGUGUGUGAUGAAGGCCUGCGGGUUGUAAAGCACUUUCGGCGAGGAGGCGUUACUCUCAGAAGAAGCACCGGCUAACUCCGUGCCAGCAGCCGCGGUAAUAC